rnacentral:rRNA from 1 species
GAUGAACGCUGGCGGCGUGCCUAAUACAUGCAAGUCGAGCGAACAGACGAGGAGCUUGCUCCUUUGACGUUAGCGGCGGACGGGUGAGUAACACGUAGGUAACCUACCUAUAAGACUGGGAUAACUUCGGGAAACCGGAGCUAAUACCGGAUAAUAUUUCGAACCGCAUGGUUCGAUAGUGAAAGAUGGCUUUGCUAUCACUUAUAGAUGGACCUGCGCCGUAUUAGCUAGUUGGUAAGGUAACGGCUUACCAAGGCAACGAUACGUAGCCGACCUGAGGGGGUGAUCGGCCACACUGGAACUGAGACACGGUCCAGACUCCUACGGGAGGCAGCAGUAGGGAAUCUUCCGCAAAGGGCGAAAGCCUGACGGAGCAACGCCGCGUGAGUGAUGAAGGUCUUCGGAUCGUAAAACUCUGUUAUUAGGGAAGAACAAACGUGUAAGUAACUGUGCACGUCUUGACGGUACCUAAUCAGAAAGCCACGGCUAACUACGUG